rnacentral:rRNA from 1 species
CCACCUGAUCCCAUGCCGAACUCAGAAGUGAA